CAGCCGCCACGGUAAUACGGAGGGUGCAAGCGUUAAUCGGAAUUACUGGGCGUAAAGCGCACGCAGGCGGUCUGACAAGUCAGAUGUGAAAUCCCCGGGCUUAACCUGGGAACUGCAUUUGAAACUGUCAGGCUGGAGUCUUGUAGAGGGGGGUAGAAUUCCAGGUGUAGCGGUGAAAUGCGUAGAGAUCUGGAGGAAUACCGGUGGCGAAGGCGGCCCCCUGGACAAAGACUGACGCUCAGGUGCGAAAGCGUGGGGAGCAAACAGGAUUAGAUACCCGGGUAGUCCAUGUCUCUUAUAC
rnacentral:rRNA from 1 species